AAAAGGGUCUGACGAAAUGUGCGCAGACGCAGAGCGUAACACAUUUGGCUAUAAAGUAGAGGCGCGAACAGCUUUUCCCCCCUGUGCCAGCACUAAAUAAUGUAGUGGCGUCAGUUCAGCUAAACCUAGGGAAUGGCAAAGUGGGGUGAGGUGGGUUGGGGUGAUUUCAAAGCUUCCACUGAGUUUUGGAUCUGACAACCAGACUUGGUGGGUGUUCCCACCAAACUGUUCCAGCCCUGGAGUGGCACGCUGGAACUUCCAGAGGCUUGUAGACCUGAAGCUGUGUGAUGUGGUCCAAAAAAUGAUCACACACAUGUCAACACACUCACUCAAUCGCUCACUCUGUUUUGUUGUGUCAUUCUUUUCACUUAAGAAAAUUGUGCCUCUCUCAUUUAGAUCUGACAACCCUAUUACAACCCCACAGCUGCAGUCGUCUGUCCCUGCAUCUGCUGCAGCGACUGGUGAUACAGAUCUGCCACCCUCAGCAUUUCAGCUGCAGUCACAGCAGUCCUCUGCUGUGGCAUUUAAUUUACCGCCUGCACCAGUUCCUACUACAGUAGCCGUGAAGGGAGAAACUUGUGAGGAUUCCCAGAUGGAUUCAGAUCUGCCAUGCACUCCACCACUGCCCGACAGCCUCACCCAGAAGUGCAUACACUGGGCCUAUCAAGACUGAUAAAGCAGAGAUGGUGGCUGACAAGGAAAAAUAAAACAUGCACACACUCUCUCUCUCUCUGUCACACACACACACACAUUAUCCCCAAUGUAAAGAAAUUGUAAUUACUUGUUUAUUUUAUGGAUGCUCCAGUUUAUUUUAGGAUGGGAGAUAUCUACGCCUGUCUGUCCAUUGUCAGUAUCUACAUAAUUACUCUAAAUAUCUAUCAAAUUCAAAUGUGAUAAUGUGGUAAUAUGUACAGUUUGAGGAAAUUCUGUGUGCUUUUCUUGGAGUUGAGAAACAUGCCUCACUCUCUCUCACACACACAUUAGACCCAAUGUAAAUACAUAGAUUUUUAUUUAUGCUCGAUUUUAUUUGAGGAUUGUGUGCAAUAAAGUACAUUGACAGUUAAAACAGUUUGGUUUAUAGGAUAUUUCUCUAAUUAAAAUGAAUGACUGCAGACCUGCAACCCUCUUGUGUCAUCUGGAGCUGAAACGGCCCCACAUAUGUACAUGGUUCCCAGGAGUUGUCCUGCAAAAAUAUUUAUGUACCAAGGCUACCCAUCCA
ensembl:lncRNA